UUUUAUGAGGUUUGUAUGCACAGCUCCUCUUCUGUUUACCUUUUUAAAUAAUUUCGAUGGUCGGGGGCAGACACCGUCACUAUAGGAUUUUCACUAAGUAACUCCUGAAAUGGAGGACAUGCAAACUCAAUGGGACAAUUUGAUAAGUGGGUUGAAUUUGGGUUCCCAGCAACGGGGAGCUUUAGUCUACAUCAAUUGCAGCAGCUGAAGAUACGUUUAGAGGUAGAGGAAGGGAUAGCAGCAGAGAAACAUGCAGCCUUGUCCAAAAAACAUCAAAAGAAAAAACAUCCAUUUAAAGCAGACUGGAAAGCUUACAUUGAAUGGAGGGAGGAAGCAAGGGAGAGAAAAAGUCAGAAAAUAGAGGGUCAGGUUAAGAGCACUCAGGAUAAGAAGGAGGGGGGCAUGAAUAAGGAUUUCUGGGCACAAUUCACACAAGCACCAACAACAUCACAAAUACCUCCUAACACACAAACACAAUCUAACACCUUGUAUCCUUCUUUGCCUGAGGUGUACACUGCAAAAAAUCCAUUCAGGCUGGAUCCCGACCUGGACUCCGCGCUGCUUCCUCCUCCCUACAAUCCUGCUUUGAACCAACCGCAAGAUCCAAACCAGCAGCUCCAAGGAGCGCACGUUUUAAGAGACUGAAACCAAAGCCGCAACAACAGUGGCUUUAACGCAAAAUUUGGAGAAACAGAUGGAUCAGUUUGUCAGAGAGGAUCGGCCCACAAUGACUGAGCUAAAGCGCAUGAUGAGCAAAAUGCUCAAGAUGGACUAUUACAAGAUCACACCCUACUUCACGCCAGCAGUGUCGGCUGGUGGAGGUGGUUUACAGCCGUAUGGAUAAUGUUGAUUACAGAGACGCUAUCACUGGAUUAAUUGCCACCUGCAAGGCCGCUUUUCCGAUGCGGAUGGAUCUGUCAAUUAUCACCUCGGUGGCGCAGGAGCCGACGGAGACCUGUCAGGCUUACCUAGCCCGUCUGACAGUGGCCUUCGAUCUUCACACUGGAAUGACAGGGGGCCAGAUGGGGGCUGCAGCUCAUACAGCAUUUCAUGACCCGGUUGAGGCCAGAAAUCGCUGCAGCAGAAAGAUGAAGAUGCGUCUUUUGGAAAACAGUGCCACUUUCAAUGAUAUUAGACUACGCUGGCCACGCGGAGGGAGAGCUUAGGGAGCGAGAAGAGAGCAGAGGGAAAGAGCAGCAGAAGAAGCUAGUGGACGCACAGUUGUCUAUGUUUAACUCCAUCGACACCACAAGCCAAAAGAAAGAGUCCUCCAGUUGCGGAAAAGAGGGGUCCGCGGGAGAGGUUGCAAGAAUGACCGACAAAGUGUCAGCGACCCGGAUUUUUGUUGGAACUGUGGGGAAACUGGACAUUGGCAAGAUGAAUGCAAAAAAGAAACAAAGAGGGGUUAUGUGAAAUCGGACUGAAAUGAGGGAGUGGAGGCGGAGUGGCCACUGGGGACGGACCGGCCUGCCACACACGCAUCAAUGGUUGUUCCAAGGAGAAUUUUGCCCGCAUGUGGCGUUGGCUAAGCCUGCUGAUUGGAGAUGGAGGGAUGUGGGGAGGUGGAUUCACACUCAGAGUCAGCUGACUGACUACAAGCCCAUGGAAGGGGAUCCGAGAACACUGUACAGUAAAAAGGGUGAUGUAUACAAGGCUCUAUUGACAUACACUGGUCUAGUUAAGAGAACUGUUGAACCAAGUCCAGUAACAGGUUUCUCACUGUUUCACACUGUGAGAAAUACAUUAUAAGUUGCUGAUUUUUAGGAUUUCACUGUAAUUAACUUGUGAGAAAUUAGCAUUGGUCACAGGGUUUUUAUUAGGGGUUAUUAUAAAGGGUUGUCUGACUUACAAUAAACAUCUGCUGACAUGUAGGUGGGAGUUUUAACAUAGACUAAUCAAGAAGUAGGAACACAACUUUGAUGCCACAUACAAUUGCAUUCUUAUGUCAGCCCAGGAAGAAGCUUUUGAGUGUGUGCUAAAACUCUGCCAUUUGUUUUCCCUUGUCUUGGCAGUUUACUAUUGCUGUACUUGUUCUGUAUUUAAGAGUUCUCUCCAUGGCCACGUUACAUAAAGAAAUGAUUCAACACAUCUAUUUGACUCCGUAUUCUUUGGGAAGGAAUUCUUUUCCCUGACAUUGGGCAUGUGUUGGAGAUGUUCAUCAGAAUUCGGCGUAAAACCUUCGUGGUAGCCAGGUGUUCUGUCGAGUCAGACACCUAUUCCGAAGAAACGUUCGCCCAGUUGGGGUUAAUAGAACUAUAAAUAUAGUUCAUCAUCGGGGGUGGUGAUAAAGGGUCUAUUCGGGGGAAACAGAGAAAAAACAACAGGCCAGGAGUGAUAAGUGCAUAAUCCCAUUAUGGUAGCAUCUCUAGUGAUAACCUACCUAGGAGUUUAUAUAGACUAGCAGGUAACACCAUUUAAAGGUCGCAUUUUGAGUGAUUUAAGGAACGGCCUAUUUUCCAAAAUCCUGAGUGAUUUUGGGAAAAAAGAAAUUUAAAUAACAGAGAAAAAAAAGAAUUCCAUCCUAGCUGCAGCGGCCUGGGUCAAACUCUGGCCCAUAGCCGUGUGUUUGUAUGAACAUAAUUGCCGUAGUUUCGUUAUACUAUAAAUAACACAUCAUAGAAAAACAUUCCAGAUGUUUCCCAUUUAGAGUUUUAAAGAGUUUAUGUGAUGUGAUAAGUGUUUGUUUCGAACAUUAUGUUCCACUAAGGAGGGAAAAUAUCUGGGUGUGCAUGAGAUGAUAAAUAUAGAAAACUCUGUGAUAAACUCAUUUCAGUGUCUAGCACACAAUUGUAAACGAAAACGAGUGCACCAUCAUGCAAGUGCCAUACAGCUGAGAGAGUUUCUCCAGAGUUAGUGUGUGUUUGACAAGAUCAGACCAUAUGGGAAGAUCAGAGUGAUUGUGUGAAUAAUAAAACCCAUUGCAAGUAAAAACAAAUUUGUUCAGUGAGUCUGAGUCAGUAGAAAAACAUGGGGAACAAAUCGGGGAAAAAACUCAAUUCUUUGCCUGACACUCUUUCAGGUUCAGCUAAAACAAUGGUAGAAAAAUGGGGGGAAAGUGUGGUUGUUGAUGUUCCUUUUUGGCAUGAUGUAACUGAAGGCAUUUUUCUUAUCCUAGGCACACUGAGUACAGAUUGUUUAGGGAGAUGUAGAAUUAUGUUGACAGAGAAAGCAAAGACAGUAGGUAAGAAAAAGAUUGAUUGGCAAGCUUUUGAGAAAUGGGAAAAAUAAGCACAUUUGAGAGAAGCAAAAUCAGUGGCAGGGUAAAUGGUAAAACAACAGAUAAGAGAGGCAGUUUUAAAUGAUAAGAAAGAGACACACAAAAGGCCAGAUCAGAUGUUGCCACCUCCAUACGUUGUCUCCAAGCCACUAAUCCUUUUGUCAUUAGAGACACACAUGGAAAGUACUGCCCUUUUGACUGAGAAACUCCAGGAAAGAACUGACAGACGGGGGAGAGAACAUGCAUUGUGUCAUGACCUGAGGACUGUUUGCCCAUUUCACACACCAGUUGCUGGGAAAGGACAAAAUGGGAAAAGACUCAAAUUAACUUUCCCAAGAAGUUUUUAUUUCAAUCAGCAGCCUCUUCCUGGCUCAGGAGAAACGGUGAAGGAAGAAACGCACACCUACUGCUGACAGUGACACCUCCAAAUCCCCAGCCCAGACCGACGGGAGGGCAGGAACACGCCCACUGGGACUCAGAACUGUUUGGAGAAGAACUACCUAAUACAAAGACUGAUGGUGAGAAAUGGGUCACACCACUGGAACAGUCAAAUGAUAAUGGAGAACGCGGCAACAGAGGGAAGAAAAGCUGGAGAACACACCCCAGACACAACAACGCAAAUCGACACAGAUUAAAGAUGUGGAGGUUAUGGGCACAUAUCACGACUGUGUCCCACCCGUGUGUUCAGCCAACAAGAAGAACAAAGUCCAGAGGAAUCCUGGUCACACACAUCACCUGGAGCCUCACUGUCCAGUCUCCAGGGUUUCCAGUCAGCAAAAGACAUAGAAUGUAGUGGAGAAAGGUCAGAGCAGGGAGCAGCAUAUUCACAAGUACACCACUGAUGAGAGGGAUAAACCAGUAUUUACAUAAAGACCCUAGUCUGAUUUCAGGAGCAGAAGGCUCAUUGAUCAAAUCUAAAGUGCUCCAUAAUGCUCCUAGAACAUAUAGUUUUCAUUCCUGUCACAUUUUGAAACAGCCAUCAAACCUAUUUACACGUAGACACAGAUAUUUUGCACACAUUUAUUUUUUAGGGGGGAAAAAAGAAAUGAAAAUGCCAGUUGUGAAAUGUUCUUCUGAUACCAUGCAACUCCUCCAUUCUGCCUGUAGAGACAAGGGGGGUGGUAAGUUUUUCAAGAUCUUAGGGAAUAAAUAAAUUACCUUAUGCGGUAAAGCUAAUGUCAUGGGGUCUAACAGCCCAUGUUGAUUUUCUGUGAUUGAUUCAGCAAAUGCACAUUUAAGCAUUCCUGUUUUCAUCCUGAUUCAAGAUUGUUUUUUUCCACAUUUUUGUAAUGGGUUGUGGUUAUGAUUUUAUAUCUGUGUUUCACCCAAACCUGGGAAUUGUCAAAGUGACACAGUGUCACUAUUAGCUUCUUGGCAGAGAACUGUCAUAAGGUGGAUUUCUGUUCCAAAAGGGGUGCGUUUUUAAUUUGGAUCACAAAUCGGGUACAGGAAAUCCAUGAAUUUCCAAAGACCACAAUACUAAAUUCUUUUGGCUCUAGCAGGCUAGUGCCAUUCAUGGAUUAUCAUUUUUUCUUUGUGGAGAUCUGUUUUUUGUUUUGUAGAUGGAGUCGGUGGGGCAGCUAUGUGACUUGAUUUAGCAUGUGUUUCUGUGUUUUCUUUGUCACCUCUCUUAUUUUUCCUGACAGCACACACACAGGUGGACGUGGCUGAACCGUCCGAGGUGCCGGCUGAGUUGUGGGCCCGUCACAAAUAUGAUGUAGCACUGAUACGAGGAGCCACCCCUCUGGUAGUUCACCCAAGAUCAGAGUUUAUUUAUUCGAAACAAUAUCCAAGUAACCAGGAAGCGCUUGAAGUAAAGAAAAUCCGGGAAGAGGGUCAACCUACAGAAUGGAGGUUUGUCCAAGACCUGCAGGCCGUAAACGCAGCUGUGCAUCUGCGAGCACCAGAAGUGGCAAAUCCACACACGAUUUUGUCAUUGAUUCCGCCAGAUGCCACACAUUUUUCAG